ensembl:lncRNA
GCUUUGGUUAGUACCAUUGCUGGAGAGAAUUAAACAAGUUUCCACGUUUUAGGCUUCUUGACAUUUUUUGAUGUUCCACGUAACUGCAACGGAAUAACUCGAUGAAACAAAUCAAGGCAGCUGUGCUCUGAUCCUUAGUUGCCUUCCAAGGAUAAGAUGACACAUUUGAUAAACACAUUUCCUUUAACGCCAAGUUCUCCAGGUCAGGCAGGCAUAUCAUAUAGAUGAAACUGAUCUGAGCCUUCAUCCUGAGGGAGAAGAGAGUUGGAGAUGAAGGUAAACCAGGAUCCCGGUUUUAACCCUGCAACACACCAGUCUCCUGAACUUGAGUAUUUAAAUGGAGAAAGCUCACCAAAGAAGAGAAAGGACAUGCUUCACUCAGGAUGAUGGGCUGUCCCUUUUCCUUUGGAACCAGCAUAACCUUCACCAUGUCAAUAUGGAUUGCAAAGAAAUGGAAACUUGGUGCUGUUCACCUUACAGCUCCUGAUGAUUUCUUACAGUGGGGGAAAGGGAGAUUGGACUUCAAGGUCAGAGUAGCUGAACCAAGUUAUUCCAAUGUAAGAAAAAAUGCUAACAUUGAAAGGAACAAUUUUACCCUGUAAAAAUCCUCUGCCUAGGGUACUAGAAAAAUCAGAAAAGGGAGCUGGUGGAGGAAAGAACUAGAAUAAACAAAGCAAGCUCAGAACAAUUCAUUCCUAUGUUUGUUUAUUGAAACAGAACCAGGAAGGACCAACGAAGGUCUGAAUUAAUGUAAUUUAUAAGAAGAAAGGCUCCCCUCCAAGGCAAUGAAAUGAUCUCUUUCCAAAUAUGUAACCAGGAGUGGCUCCCCAUAAACCCAGGGCAUGUCAGGGCAAAGAUGGUAUUCCAGAUCUUUACAGCCUCCCCAGUUUUUGCCUCAGAGAGAGUUCCUAAUUAACCAUUUAGGGAUUCAGAAUUGUUAAUCAAAGUUGCUCUGAUGAAAUUUUGAGGGUUGUUCUAUUUCUUGUCACAAGUUGAAUUGUUUAAAAGUACUGCCUCAGAGAUCUGAUUUUCCGCAUUAUGCCAGCAUUUUCUUACCUUAGGGCAGGCAAAGGGCUAGUCAGACUUUAAAAUUGGAACUUCUUCCAUUUUUUUCCCUCAGAGCAUUUGAAGUUUGUUUGUUUGGUCUGUUUGUUUUGUGUCUGUUACAGUUCUUUAUUUUGCUUUUCAAGUGCAAAGUUACUGUGCUGGUGAUGAUAGAAGGGAUACAUAAAGGAAGGAAAAAACUUGCUCAAGGAAGUUCACAGAGUGGAUACUCUAUAUCCAAUAAUAACAGUGAGGAAAGAAAGAAUGCAGUUGAAGAUAUGAGGGGCAAAGUAAUACAGAGAUUUUCACAGAUUUAGAAGAUUGCUGCCCAGAUCCUUCUGUUUCUCUCUUUUUGUUCCUAGUGAGAGUUAUUAAAAUAGCUAACAUCUACAUGCCCAUUCUGCACAGAAAGGGAUAUAUGAAGAAAGCAAGAAACCACUAGCCUAUGUGUAGGGUGAUAUGCCUUACAGCCAUGCUCAGUUACUAUUUUUGGUCAUGGGCCUAGAAAUAACCAUCUGGGCAAUCAGACUUCUGCAUUGACAUGCAAUGUUGGCUAAAUCCACAGGCAGCUGGCUGAGUAGUAUUUAAACUCAGUGCUGAGAUAGGAGUAGGCCCUGACAGGCAGUAGUUAGGGGACACUCAUCUAUUCUACCCAUGUCAACAGUAAUGAUACUGUAAUUCUUUCCAAAAUGUGGUCCUUUUUGCUAUGUUUUGACAAGCUGGCUGUUAUUCUAACUUUCUGUAUUAUUGGAAACACAUAGGCUAGACAUUGAUACACAUAUAUGCAUAUGCAUGUGUUUAUGUGGCUGUAUAUAGUUAUGGAAGAAUCCAUGAGAGUCAGUCUUCCAUAUUUAUUAAGUAUGUACACUAUGCAAAGCACUUUAUUGUGUGAUAUAGAAAAAUAUGGAAAAAUUGUAAGCAUACUAAGUCCAGGAGAGGUUGAUUCACCUAUGUUCCAGAACCUCACUUUGUGUUUCUAUUAAGUGACUUAUUGGGAUCAGGCAGUAUCCAAUAUCAUUUCUAGGUCUUUAAUUCUAUGAGUCCAUCAUUUUGGAUAAAAAUUAAAUAUACAGUUAAAAACACAUGGACUGGAUUAGUGGUUACAAGCAUAAGCUUUGUUGUCAGAUUCACUUAAAAUAUAAGUGCAGCUUCUGCCACUUAAAAGUUCUAUCACCCUGUGGCAUUUAUUAAAUUGGGCUCUAGUAUCUCCAACUAUAAAAUAGGAAAUUGUAAUUGUGAUCAAUCUCAUAAGGUUGUUUUAUAGAUUGAAUGUGAUAAAGCAUGUAAAGCAUUUUUCAGAAAUCGUGGUAAAGGACAAUUAUUACAAAAAUGUUAGCGCUUUUAUGCUAUCAUAAUGGUAGUUAUGGAAGCAUUGAAAACUGGGAAAAGUAAGUCAGCAGAACUCAAUAAACUUGAUUCCUUUGCACUGCC